AUACGGAGGAUGCAAGCGUUAUCCGGAUUUAUUGGGUUUAAAGGGUGCGUAGGCGGGCUGUUAAGCGUGAGGCGAAAGCUCGGGGCUCAACCCCGGAACUGCCUCGCGAACUGGCGGUCUUGAAUGUCCGUGCCGUGGGAGGAAUGUGUGGUGUAGCGGUGAAAUGCAUAGAGAUCACACAGAACACCGAUUGCGAAGGCAUCUCACGAACGGAUGAUUGACGCUGAGGCACGAAAGCGUGGGGAUCAAACAGGAUUAGAUACCCUGGUAGUCCACGCCCUAAACGAUGAAUACUAGGUGUAGGGGGUAUCAACUCCCUCUGUGCCGCAGCAAACGCAAUAAGUAUUCCGCCUGGGGAGUACGGCCGCAAGGUUGAAACUCAAAGGAAUUGACGGGG
rnacentral:rRNA from 1 species